ensembl:snRNA Gm23585 U6 spliceosomal RNA
GGGCUGGAGAGAUGCACAUAAACUAAAACUGGACGAUACAGAGAAGAUUAGCAUGGCCCCUGCAAGGAUGGCACGCAAAUCCGUGAAGCACUCAAGAAACAA